AGCUGAAAAUGUUACCAAUAGAAAUAACAACUAGAGGCUCUAAAGAGCCUGUGUCGCUCACCUUGGUCUACGUGCAUAUUAAACAAAGGACACAGAUGGAUUCAUGACAAAAUUGUGUUUUGGUGAUGGUGAUGUGUUUGUAGAUCUUACUUUACUGAACAUUCUUGCCACUUAUAAUUAUCUCUAUCUAUAAUGAACUUGGCCCAGUAGUUACAGUGGAAAAUAUUUUGUAAAAAUUUACAAAAAUUUACAAAAUUUAUGAAAAUUGUAAAAAAUUGACUAUAAAGAGCAAUAACUCCUUAAGGGGUCAAUUGACAAUUUUGGUCAUAUUGACUUAUUUGUAGAUCUUACUUUGCUGUACAUUAUUGCUGUUUACAGUUUAUCUCUAUCUAUAAUAAUAUUCAAGAUAACCAAAAGCUGCAAAAUUUUCUUAAAAUUACCAAUUCAGGGUCAGCAACCCAACAACGUGUUGCCUGAUUGGUCUGAAAAUUUCAGGGCAGAUAGAUCUUGACCUAAUGAACAAUUUUUUCCUGUCAGAUUUGCUCUAAAUGCUUUGGUUUCAGAGAUAUGAGCCAAUAAAAUGCUCCGCUGGGGCGCAGCUUGAUACGACCGCAAAGGUCGAACCCUGAACAGUUGGGGCAAGUAUGGACACAAAAUUCAAGCUUGAUACAGCUAUGACUUUGGAUUGUCAUUAAAUAUUUGACACAGCAUAGGUUUCUGACACAGGAUGAAUGUGGUGUAAGAACUGGAAAAAAUUUAAUUUACCUAUUAUGGUGGAAUAUCCAUAAACUAAAUUGUUUGUUAAUUUCAAUAUAUCAAAGAAUAUGUAGAAUUCAAUGUUUGAUGUAAUGUAAUAAAGUUGAAAUUUGGACCGUUUUUGUUCAAUGUGGACCAAUUUGGUAACAUGUAUAAAUAACCAAAAAUCUAAAUACAUGGGAGCCCAUUUAAAUACAUCAUAAAGGUAUUAAAAUAGAAAGUGACAUCAUAGUCAUGGCUAAAAAUAAACAAAAAUCCUUAAUCAGCAACAUUUAAAGUAAUAUCUAAAAAUAAAAUUCCUUUGUAACCAUAAAAGCCCAUUUAAAUACAUCAUAAAGAUAUUAAAAUAGAAAAUGACAUCAUAGUCAUGGCUAAACAUAGCAAAAAACCCUUAAUCAGCAUCAUUUAACAGUAAUAUCUAAAAAUGGAAAUUACAUCAUAAAGGUAUUAAAAUAGAAAAUGACAUCAUAGUCAUGGCUAAAAAUAAACAAAAUCCGUAAUCAGCAUCAGCAACAUUUUAUAGUAAUAUCUAAAAAUAAAAUUCCUUUGUAACCAUAAAAGCCCAUUUAAAUACAUCAUAACAGAUAUUAAAAUAGAAAAUGACAUCAUAGUCAUGGCUAAACAUAGCAAAAACCUUAAUCAGCAUCAUUUAACAGUAAUAUCUAAAAAUAAAAAUUUCUUUGCAACCAUAAAAGUAAAAUAGAAAAUGACAUCAUAAUCAUAGCUAAAAAUAAACAAAAAUUUUUUUUAUUGGCAAAUUUUAAAUGGAGUUUAUUAUACUAAAACAAUAAAUUUGCAACCAUAAACAUGAUAAAACCCCAUUUAAACACAUCAUAAAAGUAUUAAAUAAUUCAACUACAUCAUAAGGCUAUAAAAAUAGAAAAUGACUUCAUAGUCAAGGCUAAAGGUAAACAAAAAACCUUCAUCAGCAAAAUUUUAUAUUGGCAAAUUUCCAAUGAAGUUUAUUACACUAAAAUUGUUGGCAAAUUUCCAAUGCAUUUAUGAACAAUAAAGUUAUUGGCAAAUUUCCAAUUUACAUAAUUUAAAAGCAGUGUAGAUGAGAUAUUUAAAUGAGUUUGAAUUACCAACCUUACACUGCUUUUAAAUAAUGUUCUUCACUCAAUUAUUUGUCUAUUAAAAUGGAAACCCUUGUUUUUUAACCUUUUUUCCCCUUAUUCCUUAAACAUUAGAGCCAUAACCACCCCCCCCCCCCCCAAAGCCAAUUAUUACUUUCCAAUGUAACCUAAAUUUCCAAUAUACAUAAUUUUAAAUUUCAGUUCCUCAUGAUAUAUAACCGUAUCAUUAUUAUUUUCUUUCAUAUAUAAAUCUGAAACAACCAUCUUUAAAUGGAAAAUUUUAAAGAAAAAAAAAGGAAAAAAAAAAAUCCUACCCCCCACACAUUUUUUCAACCCCCUUUUGAUUCAUCAUCCCCCACCUCAAUCACAACCUUCAAUUUGUGGUAUGGUACAUUGCAAUACAAUUUCACAGAGAUCCAUACACUUGAACACAAGUUUUUGUUGCAAACUAAAAAAAUCCUUAUUUUCGACCAAUAUUUGGCCCCUUAUUCAUAAAUGUUUGAGCAAUUAACCCCAAAACUCAAUUCCUACUUUCUCUUCGUGAUAAAAAAUAACUAACUUAAAAUGUAAAUUUUAAACAAAAAAAAAAUGAAAAAAAAAAAAUUACCCCUUUUUUGACCCCGCCCCCCUUAUGAUUCAUCACCCCCACCCCCCUUUCCCCCCAAACCAAGCUCAAUAACAGCCUUGCCUUUGUGGUAUGGUACCUUGUAAUACAAUUUUAGAGAGAUCCAUACACUUGAACACAAGUUAUUGUCUAGAAACUAAAAAAUGCUUAUUUUAAACCCCUUUUUAGGCCCCUUAUUACUAAACGUUUUGGGCAAUUACCACAACACUCAAUUCCAGCUUUCCCUUU